AUUUAAAUUAUAAAAUGUGCACUGACAAAGCGUGAAAUUCUCCAACAUUACGAUUAACAAAACUUGAGAUUAUUGUAAUAACUAAGUGCAAAUCGAGUCAACUAUAUAUUGGCAUUUUUUUUAACAAACUAUAUAUUGACACUUAAAAACACCAUAAACCCAAAGUUGUUUUUUUUUCGAGGCCGCCUCAGUCAAUCAGGCUAAUUGACGAAAUAUUGUAAACCAGCCCUUUUUGUGAACCAGCUUUGCAAUAUUAAAAAAAAAAAAAAAAAAAAAAACCUAGAUCUAGCAUCAUAUUUCACGAAUGACAAACCACCACCAUUUCGUCUACCCCUGUCAUCUCGUCGGUCAUCUGUCAACGCGUCCCUCUUCUCUUCCCUUCUUCCUCCUUCCUCAACAACCACUCCAACGCCGUUGUGCGACGGUAACAAAAAGACACUCUAGUAGCAAAAGGGGGUAAAUUAGGGCCAUAUCAAUCCCUUAGGAGUAGCAUCUUUGCAAUGAGCUGCAAUGGAGGAGGAAGGGAGGAAGAAAGGGAAAAGUACAAACUUACCCCCAAAUAAAUAAAAAAAAAUGACUUUUAUAUCCCCUGAUUUACCAAUUGGCUGAUGAACAUGUAUUUUCACUUUUUCCACUUGAACAAAUGUACAAUAGAUCAUUGAAUUUCUCUUGAAAAAGACUCUAUCUUGGAACAUCAUUUUGGCUUCCAAUUUAAGGGUAAGAGACUCAAAUAGCAACCAUUACUAAUUUGCUACUAAUUGCGAGUAAUUCUGAAACCAACAUCUGAAGCAAAGAGAACAGUUUUUUGGAGAGAAGAGAAAAUGGAGCAGCAAAUUGACAACGAAGCUAUUAAGAAGAGACCUGCUAUCUUGGUUAUCGGAUCUCCCGGCGUCGGAAAGCGCACCAUUCUCUCCAGACUAUUGUCAGUGGAUUAUGAAGAUGCUUUCGAUACAUCAUCUGAAGUACUUAUACAAGGGUGGACUAUUGACACAAAAUAUUAUUCGGCUGAUGUUGCUGUAUGGAUGGCUCACCUUAAUGAUGAUAUUCCCCCCAGUUCCCUGCCAGACAUUCAGUUUGCUGCCAUAAUGAUGGUUUUUGACAUGAGCGAGUUAUCUUCUCUUACUGCACUCAAAAAAUGGGUCUCUCAUACUGAUAUCCAGAAAUCUGAUAUCCUAUUGUGUGUUGGAAACAAAGUGGAUCUUGUUCCAGGUCACCCAGCUCAUGCUGAAUACAAACGACAUUUACAGAGGCUCAAGGACCCUUUUGCUAGCUCAGAUGUGGAUUCAUAUGAGUAUGGAGUUUUUGAAUCUGAGGGAAGUAGUCUAUUGGGCAAUGAAGAGCCAUCGUGCGAUAUUAAGAGAUCUUGCUUGGAAUGGUGCAUGGAGUGUAAUAUUGAAUAUGUGGAGGCCUGCGCUUCUAAUGCUGAAUUUGAUAAAUGUUUAUCCAUUGAUGGUGACUCGCAAGGAGUGGAACGACUCUUUGGUGCACUUUCUGCCCACAUGUGGUCUGGAAUGGUUUUGAAAUCUGGAAACAGAAUUCUUGCACCAACUCUACCUGAAAGACAAGAUUCAUCAGAAGAUGAAUCUGAGUAUGAAGCUGAGUAUGAAGUCCUUUCAGGCGGUUCAGCUGAACUAUGGGAUGAUACAGAGGAUGGCUGGGUGGCCGCCAUCCCACCUAAUGCAUCUUCUGUUGAAUCUGCUGACCUAAAGUCUGUUUCUGAAGCUGAAAGGGCUGAGCCAUCAACAUCGGCAUCUUCUGAAUGUAGAGAUAAUGCUGAGGAAGUAGAAUUUAAAGCGGGUGAGGCUUAUGAUGGUGAUAAUCUUGACAAGGGUGAACAUCUGGAACUUGAGGAUUUGGAGCAUUUAAUGUCAGAAAUUGCAAAUAUGCGCAGCAGCUCAAGGUUGAUGCCUGAUUUUCAGAGGCGAGAAAUGGCUGCCAAGCUGGCCAUGCAAAUGGCUGCUCUUUUUGGGGAUGACAGUGGUGAUGAAGGAGUCGAGUGAUAAUAAGACAAAGAACAAAACUUGUAAACUUCAGCAAAGGAGAUGUAGAGGCAAGGCUUUCUCCAUGCAAGCACAUUAUGAUGUGUUAUCAUCUGGAGAGUCGUUAGAAGAUUUGCUGUACUGAUUUUCUCGCAUAGAUGAGUUUUUUUCUCCCCUUUAAACUUAGUACUCAAGCGGAAAACAUGACCCAGUCCCGAAGAUGCGUAUACUAGGGAUAUGCUGGAUUUUGGGCCAGUCUUCGCCUGUUGGCUUCAAGCACCUCUCCUCUAGCUUCUUAGAGCAAUUUUCAAGUGUAAGCGUCUUCAAGCUAGAAAGGUUGGUUGUCCACUCUGGUAUGGCAUUGAGGUCUUCACAUCUGCUUACUGUUAGCUGUUCCAAGGAAAAACCUCUAAACUCCCCUGUGAUUAAUAAUAUCCACUCCAUUUUGUCGACCUGCAUAUGCUUCAAUCUGGGGAAUGCCAGUUUUCGCUCAAAGAGAUUAUUCUGGAUGGGUUGUCUUGAAUCUGCUUCACUAUUUGAAAUAAUUCUCUUCCAUCCCUUUAAUUUAGGCAUGUUCCGAAGCCAGAGAUACUCGAGUGAUGGAAAUAAGGGAGCAUGGUGCUUAUACACAAUGUCGUUAUUACUUUCAUUGCUCCCAGCACAAGUUUUCUCAAUAUACUCAACAUUGUCUAAAUCUAAAAGAUUCAGAUAUUUAAGAUGAGGAAGCCUCCCAAAGGAGCAAAGGUAUCUGCAGCCUUCGCACUGGAGUAUCCAAAUGCUAACAAGAUUCGGAAGCCAAAAGUGAAGGCGAUCCAUCAUCCAGCUUGGUAACCUCUCUCCUGCAUAACCAUAUAUCAACAGUUCUUUUAAAUUAGAAUUGGGUUGGAGGCCUUCUAUAACUAUUUCGUCAUGUUUUAGGCUACCACCAAUGAACUCUAAAUCCAAGCCUAAAAGCUUAUCUUUACUCUUCAAGUUUGCUGUCUUAGCUUCCGAAACUGUAUCCAUUGACCUCCCAAUGACACGUAUUGUUAACUUUCCCAUUAGAUUAUUCAGGCGAUGUAGCUCUGCUAACUCGCCGACACUGUUGGCCUUUGAUCCGUUUUCUGAAUUCUGCUCCCCUUGUAUGAA